rnacentral:rRNA from 1 species
GACGAACGCUGGCGGCGUGCUUAACACAUGCAAGUCGAACGGAAAGGCCCUGCUUUUGUGGGGUGCUCGAGUGGCGAACGGGUGAGUAACACGUGAGUAACCUGCCCUUGACUUUGGGAUAACUUCAGGAAACUGGGGCUAAUACCGGAUAGGAGCUCCUGCUGCAUGGUGGGGGUUGGAAAGUUUCGGCGGUUGGGGAUGGACUCGCGGCUUAUCAGCUUGUUGGUGGGGUAGUGGCUUACCAAGGCUUUGACGGGUAGCCGGCCUGAGAGGGUGACCGGCCACAUGGGGACUGAGAUACGGCCCAGACUCCUACGGGAGGCAGCAGGGGGGAAUAUUGCACAAUGGGCGGGAGCCUGAUGCAGCAACGCCGCGUGCGGGAUGACGGCCUUCGGGUUGUAAACCGCUUUCGCCUGUGACGAAGCGUGAGUGACGGUAAUGGGUAAAGAAGCACCGGCUAACUACGUG